CCCAGAAACAGGAGUGCAGCAGAUGCUACUCCUUGGCCUCCCUUUGCUGAAAAUCCGCUCUGCGUGAGCUUUCUCGGUGUGUAAUUACUUGAGGAUCUAUAGAUCAGCUAGGCAGCAUCAUCUUUUAGAGGAAAUCGCAAUAAUAAGGAAAGUGUCUGGGAGUAGAAGUAGGAUGUUGUGAAGAUACAGUGGAAGGAAUUUGUGAGAAAAUAUAGUGAGGGCAAAGAGGCUCCUUUCAGCGCAGAGUAGGGAGGAUGGGGAGCAGUCACAAAGGGUCAAAGGUCUGCAAUAGCAACAAGCACUGACGAAAUUUGUUUUGCUGUAUUGUGAUUCAGAGUCAUCUUUCAGCAGUAAAGUUCUGUAAGGGAGAGUACCAGGAUGCCAGAUCCACAGCUAGCCAAAAUUGAUGACCUCCAAAUUCACAAUAUUCAGAAGGAAAUCAG